GGCUCGUUGGUCUAGGGGUAUGAUUCUCGCUUAGGGUGCAAGAGGUCCCGGGUUCAAACCCCGGACGAGCCC
rnacentral:tRNA from 1 species